ensembl:lncRNA
CUGGCAUUGCUGUAAUUGACACAAGGUUGCAAAGAACUCGGCAGGCUACCUGAGCCACUGAGGUUGUACACUUACAGUCGUGCUGCCUUGCAGACUGGUUACUGCUCUGCAGAACCUCCAACUUUUCACUGGAUCUUCUCACCUGAAGAGAUGAGUACGGUGGCAAAUCGGCACACCUCCUGCCCCGGGGCCUGCAGAGCAGCUAGUUUCCUGCUUAUCCUUACAGCACUACAGAAGCUGAGCUCAAACGGACCUGUCCCACUGAGUUUUUGACCAUCUCUCUGGAUUGAUGGCAAUCCCUGGAACACGGAGAAUUUACUGCAAUGAAUAGAAGGUCUGUCCAAGUCUGUCUGCAGCUGGACUACAAUUGCUUUAUUUUUUUCCUAGCUUUUUGUUCUGGAGAAGGAGCCAAGUCAACCUCGUUGGACUCUUCCCUGGCUGAGCUAAGGAAUCCAGUAGCUCACCAGGCCCUACAGCUGCCAGAGAAGUCUGAUGUUCCUGUCUGUCCCAGCAGCUGUCAUGGGCUUCGAGCCUCAGACUUCUCCAAAGAUCUUUCAGACGGAGCUGCUCCAAACAAAGUUUUGGGACUCACCG